GGAGUUGUGGCUCAGAGGUAGAGUGCUUGUCUAGCAUGCAUGAGGCACUAAGUUCGAUCCUCAGCACCA
rnacentral:tRNA from 1 species